rnacentral:rRNA from 1 species
GAUAAACGCUGGCGGCGCACAUAAGACAUGCAAGUCGAACGGACUUAACUCAUUCUUUUAGAUUGAGAGCGGUUAGUGGCGGACUGGUGAGUAACACGUAAGCAACCUGCCUAUCAGAGGGGAAUAACAGUGAUAAAUCAUUGCUAAUACCGCAUAAGCUAGUAGCAUCGCAUGAUGUAGCUAGAAAAGGAGUAAUCCGCUGAUAGAUGGGCUUGCGUCUGAUUAGCUAGUUGGGGGGGCAACGGCCUACCAAGGAGACGAUCAGUAGCCGGAAUGAGAGGUUGAGCGGCCACAUUGGGACUGAGAUACGGCCCAGACUCCUACGGGAGGCAACAGGCGGGAAUAUUGCGCAAUGGAGGAAACUCUGACGCAGUGACGCCGCGUAUGGGAAGAAGGUUUUCGGAUUGUAAACUAUUGUCGUGAGGGAAGAAAUUGACAGUACCUCAGGAGGAAGCUCCGGCUAACUAUGUGCCAGCAGCCGCAGUAA